rnacentral:rRNA from 1 species
GACGAACGCUGGCGGCAUGCCUAACACAUGCAAGUCUAGGGGUAGCAAUACCACUGGCGCACGGGUGAGUAACACGUAGGUUAUCUGCCCCCAUCACAGACAUAACCCCGGGAAACCGGGGCUAAUAUCUGAUGAGGUCGCGAGAUCAAAGCUUCGGCGGAUGGGGAUGAGCCUGCGGCUGAUUAGCUAGUUGGUGAGGUAAUGGCUCACCAAGGCGAACGAUCAGUAGCUGGUCUGAGAGGACGAACAGCCACACUGGAACUGAGACACGGUCCAGACUCCUACGGGAGGCAGCAGUGGGGAAUUUUGGACAAUGGGCGCAAGCCUGAUCCAGCCAUGCCGCGUGAGUGAAGAAGGCC